CAGCCGCCACGGUAAUACAGAGGGUGCGAGCGUUAAUCGGAUUUACUGGGCGUAAAGCGUGCGUAGGCGGCUUUUUAAGUCGGAUGUGAAAUCCCUGAGCUUAACUUAGGAAUUGCAUUCGAUACUGGGAAGCUAGAGUAUGGGAGAGGAUGGUAGAAUUCCAGGUGUAGCGGUGAAAUGCGUAGAGAUCUGGAGGAAUACCGGUGGCGAAGGCGGCCCCCUGGACAAAGACUGACGCUCAGGUGCGAAAGCGUGGGGAGCAAACAGGAUUAGAGACCCGAGUAGUCCCUGUCUCUUAUAC
rnacentral:rRNA from 1 species